CUCGAAUGCGGCUUGAAAGGAGAAGCCCGAUUGUUUGCAUUCUACGGCUAGAUAAGGGUCACCGCGACAAGCUUCGUGGCAAGUGGGGGCGGUGAUUGGCGAGGUUUUGUUAUAUUACUGGUAUCUUUUCUAACUCGUGACCGUAACGCGGUUCUAGAAGCAGGGUUCCUUUUAAUUUUUCCAGCCUCCUACCAUCCAGUGCAUACGCUUCGCCGGAAGGUCGCCGGCGUUUACCGCGAUCGCAUCCGUCCAAGGUUGUUGAACUCUGUGUGUGGAUUUAGCAAGACCUAGGGUUUGUAUUGGACUAUCAGAAGAGACAAGGAAGAAGAGGAGAAAUGGCCACUAUGGCAUCUGAAAACUCCGCCUGAUCGGCUCUCAAAAAAUGGCUUCGCU